AAAAAAGCAACGAAAAGCAGGAGUAGAUGAUUUUCCUCGUUAAGAGAGCUUCUAAUUGGUGAGAAGAAGCCUUGGGAGAUUGUCGAAAGUAGGCUUUGAGCUGUAGAUGCGAAUGAUUCAUUGAGUGUCUACUGGAUGCCACCAUUACAAGGCCAACGACUACAAUGACAAGUUGUGUUCGUUAAGAUCGGCUCUUUUGAGUUCGAUAAAAUCAAGGUGGUACCGUGCGUUAAAACGCGCCCUUCGA
rnacentral:ncRNA from 1 species